AACGAACGCUGGCGGCAUGCCUAACACAUGCAAGUCGAACGAGACCUUCGGGUCUAGUGGCGCACGGGUGCGUAACGCGUGGGAACCUGCCCUUAGGUUCGGAAUAACUCCCCGAAAGGGGUGCUAAUACCGGAUAAUGUCUUCGGACCAAAGAUUUAUCGCCUUUGGAUGGGCCCGCGUUGGAUUAGCUAGUUGGUAGGGUAAAAGCCUACCAAGGCGACGAUCCAUAGCUGGUCUGAGAGGAUGAUCAGCCACACUGGGACUGAGACACGGCCCAGACUCGUACGGGAGGGAGCAGUAGGGAAUAUUGGACAAUGGGCGAAAGCCUGAUCCAGCAAUGCCGCGGGAGUGAUGAAGGCCGUAGGGUUGUAAAGCUCUUUUACCCGGGAUGAUAAUGACAGUACCGGGAGAAUAAGCUCCGGCUAACUCCGUG
rnacentral:rRNA from 1 species